rnacentral:rRNA from 1 species
AAUGCACGAAAGUGUGAAGGAGUGAUGCCGCGUGCCGGAUGAAGCCUUUCGGGGUGUAAACGGCUUCUAUAUGGGAAAAACUUCGAUGGUACCAUAUGAAUAAGGGGCUGCUAACUUCGUGCCAGCAGCAGCGGUAAUACGAGGGCCCCAAGCGUUAUCCGGAAUUAUUGGGCGUAAAGCGCUAAAAGGUGGCUUUGCAAGUCAGAUGUUAAAGCCCGAGGCUCAACCUCGGAUCUGCAUUUGAAACUGCAUAGCUUGAGGACGGAAGAGGCAAGCGGAAUUGCUGGUGUAGCAGUAAAAUGCGUUAAUAUCAGCAGGAACACCAAUAGCGAAGGCAACUUGCUGGAACGAUCCUGACACUAAAUAGCGAAAGCGUGGGGAGCGAAGGGGAUU